rnacentral:lncRNA from 1 species
UUUGUAGUUCUCCUUCAAGAGGUCCUUCACAUCCCUUGUAAGUUGGAUUCCUAGGUAUUUUAUUCUCUUUGAAGUGAUUGUAUACACAUAAACUUAUGGACACAUGAGUGAUAGUCAAAUUUCAAUCACUAAUGUGGCAUGAGCACUGACCCACCAGAAUGGCCAUGGUAAUUCACCAUGGAGCAGUAUUGCAUCAUCCUGAGUGAGAGUGAAGAAGAAUUGAGGUAGAGGGAAACUGAUAGAUGUGUUUGAGAUUUUAAAAUUAUUUCUCAAACUUUUACACCAAAAUAUAUCCUGGUACAUGUGCAACUUCUAUGGCUCUGUCAGACUCAUUUAAUAGGAAACUACCCACAGAAGAAAAUAAGGAAAACGAAUUCUGUAGGUAGAGAAAUGUAAUGACUAAGAUUUUAAAUGUUAUGACUAAGAUACAUGUUUAGUUGAUAAAAAUUAAUAAAAAUAAGAAACUUUCCUUCCUAGGGCAGCAUAAGAUCAUUUCAGAAUGAAGAUGCUUUGGGAUCUGACUUCGGACUGUAAGAAUGACAAACUCUGAAUGGGUGCAAAGGUAGCAGAUGACCUUCAAAGGAUGGUGAGAUUAAAUUUACCUACACCUAGAGAAAUAAUUGGAGCACAUGUCUAUUUGGGCCAAGAGGAUAAAGGCCAGUAGAGGAAUCAGAUCAAAGAACUUCCUCAGGGAAGUGUGCAGAGAACUGGAGUGGACCUUCCCCUAGGAAGCUGCCCAAAACGAGAGUGCUGGAAAGCUGGCCGCAGUGAGGCACUUCAGAUCCCAAGGGUAUGCUGGGGAAGCUGCCACAGGUGGGAGCACUUGCUGCUGGACCCUAGGCACUGUUGAAACAACUGCACCAUCUGCAGGAGCCCAGCAAGGCCAUUUGGUUCUGAAUACCACAUUCAAGAGGAGCAUUGUACACUGGAAUUUGCAAACCGAAACUGGAAGAUAGAAGUUUAUUUCUCUCUCCAGUCAUAAAGCUGUUGGAAAUUGAUACUGGGAGCUGCUAGUGACCAUCUUUCCAGUUCUAUGUGUGUUUGUGUUGAAAGAACUUGUUUGCAUCCCUGCUAGACAAAAACCUACAAGUUAACCUUUGCCCGUAUGGAGUUGUAAAACAGACCAGUUGAUAGAAAGAGAAGCCUGCUUCCCGAAGCCCUCAGCAGAAGCCGAGCAGAUGUUGGCACCAUGCUUCUUGUACAGCCUGCAGAACUUGAAGAAACACUCCAUAUUAGUUUUCUGGAGCCAUCGUUAUGAAGCAACACAGACUGGGUGGCAUAAACAAUGGAGAUUUAUUUUUUCACAAUUCCGGAGGCUAGAAGUUUGAGAUCAAGGUGUUGGAAAGUGUCUCAGGAUGAUACAUACCGGUUUUUAACUUUGGUGUCAUCAAAUGCAAUUGCAAUGUGACUGUUUCUUGAAAGCCCGAACUGCUUGCUCCCUAUCAAAAGAGCUGGUUCUGAUUCUGCAGCACAAGGACCCUGUAAAAUACCCAGGAGAGAAAAACAGGAGAUUAUGGACUGUUCUUUAAAAAGUGCAAGGAGCACAUUGCUCAACCAAUUCCAUCGUGGACACUAAGGAAGAGAAUGAGAUAUUCAAGAGUUUUCAAGAUCUGCACUCAAGACAACAUUGCCCACCCAUUACUGGUAUGGAAUAUAACCACAACACAUGAGCUGUAAAGAGUGUAGUGACUGUGACCAUCUUUGUUGUAUUGGUGAUAAGAAUGUAAAUUGGCAUAGCCUGUGGAAGAAACAAUUCAGGUAUGUGUAUUGAAAACCUUAGACAUAUUCAUCUUUUGGCCUUAUAAUUUCCUAACUACUUAUCUAUUUUAAGAAUAACUGGAAAUAAUGAAAAAGCUUGAUGCAUAGAGGAGCUCAUCAGAGUAUAGUUUCUAAUAGUGAAAAACUGGAAACACUCUCAAUAGCCUACCAUGGUCUAUUAAAAGUAGAAUAAAUUGGAAAGGCAGAGUGUUCCAGAGAUAAGGAGUCAGACUUUGGAGUCUGACUCGCUAGAAUAAAAUUCUUACUCUGCCUUUUACUAGUGGUGUGAGUGGGUUGGUUGCUUAAGAUAGCUAAUUCUUAUUAACUCGACUAAAAGUAGAAAGACUAUAUUUUACAGAGCCGUUAUGAGAAUUACAUAUAAUAUUGAAUGAAAAUUGUUUAGCCCUGGGCUGGUGAAAGUACUCAUUAUUAUCAUUACUACAUAGUACUUAUGCCAUUUAUUAAACGUUCAGUAUAUGUGAGUCAUUGAACAAACAUUAUCUUUUAAAACUCUGAUACAAAGUCUUUGAUGUCUGUGCUGUUAAUAUCCUCAUUUGACAGAUGAGGAAACAGAAAUAGUCUAUGGCCAAAUCACCCUGAAAGCAUCCGAUCUUUUCUGAUCUCAAAAGCUAAGCAGGGUUGGGCCCGGUUAGUACUUGGAUGGGAAACUGAGAAAUAGAUUGGACAGGUAGCUUUCCCAAAUUCACACAGAUGGUCGGUUACAGUGCUGGGAUUUGAAUACCAGCAGUCUGACUUGAGCCCAUGCUCUAAUCAAGGCUAUAUGACCUCCAAUACUAUAAAAUAGUUGUGUGUCUCUGUGUGUAUAUAUACUUAACAUAAAAUCAUAUUAGACAUACACAUUUAUAUGAUGUUUAGAUACAGUUUUUAUUUAUUUAUUUAUUUUUAUUUUUUGGAGAUGGAGUCUCGCUCUGUUGCCCA